rnacentral:lncRNA from 1 species
UCUGUUGCCUCCCAUUGUAUCCCCUCCCCCUACAUGGACUGCCUGGGUGGGCCUCAGUGGGAGAGGACAUGCCUAGUUUUUUUUUUUGUUUUUUUUUUUUCUGUCUUACAAACUUUAUUAGUGCUGGGAAAACGGGGACAAGAAGCUCUUGUUUCUUCAGUCCACUACUGUUUGCCAUUGCCAUUGAUGGGACGGUUCACAUGUUCCGGGGAGGACAGAAAGGCCUUGAUCUUGGGCCGGGCACUGAGGCGAGCCACAUAGGCAGAGAGCAGGGGGAAGUUGUCCAGGCAGCCAGGGGCCAGGACUUGGUGGAUCAGCAGCAGGUCCAGCAAGUUGUAAUCGGCAAAGGAGAUCUGGUCACCCACGAUGAAAGCUUUGCCUCCCUGGUUCUGGGACAGCAGGGUCUCAAAAGGCUUCAGAUGCCCAGGCAGGGCCUUCACGUAGUCAUUCUUACCAUUCUCAUAGUUGGUGUAGAUGAGGGUGACAUAUUUGCCGCGAAGGUCCUCCACCCCAUCAUUCACCAUAUCCACCUGGGCGGCCUCCCUCUGGUUUUUCCCAUAAAGCCCCAAAGAGCGGCCAAGGUGUCUCAAGAUGGCAUUAGAUUGGUAAAGGGUGAGGUCUCCAUCCUCAAACUUGGGGAGCUGCCCAUACAGAUAAGUGGGCUUGAGCAAGCCUUGCAUCCAGGUAUCUAUGGUAACCACCUCCUCCUUCCAGCUCUGGCCCUGGUCAGCCAGCAGCAUGCGCAUGGCCUCACACCGCCCUCGAACUGGGAAGUAGACAAUGGUGUAUGGUGGCAUGCCUGCUGGGUGCGGAUUCAGUGCUGCGUAGACAGAGGGGUACUCAGAGUGAGGACGCACAUGCCUAGUUUUUAUGGCACUUGUAUGGACAACAAGAAAGAAAGAAAGAAAGAGAGAGAGAGAGAGAGAGAGAGAGAGAGAGAGAGAAAGGAAGGAAGGAAGGAAGGAAGGAAGGAAGGAAGGAAGGAAGGAAGGAAGAAAAGGAAAAGUACUUCCCAAAUAGUCAUGAAAUGCAGACUGUCACUGAAGUUACA